AUUCCUCUGCUCCAGCAUCCAGCAGCAUCCACUCCCGGGCCAGCUGAGAGCAGAGCACGCGGCAGCCCGGAGAGCAGCUCUGCAGAGCCACCCCCUGUGCCUCCCAGACUGCAGCUGAACCAGUUCUUACUCAGGUGCAGGUUGUGUCCUCUCUUUGCUCAUGCGGAAGAAAACUACUCCAACACAAAGCAAGAACAAGAUGUAUUUCUCCCGUCCUUUUAUCUAAGGCAUUUGCUGAAAUGACAUUGAAAGUUUGCAAGCGAUCACAGUGUAUCUCCAAAAAAGGCCUAAACAGUCAACCCAACCAUGAAAUCCAUCAGAAGGCUUAUCCUGCAAAGCACUUCAGGCUGCUUCAACACUUGAAAAGAGGCCACGUGAGCAAAUGGCCCAAUUAUCUCCUAUAGUACUUCAUGCCUUUCUGAACUUCAAAUAGGAUGAGAUUUCUGCUCCAGCUCUCUACUUUCUGUUGUAGGGAGUCCCUCUGGGCUCUGUUCAGAUACUUCAAUAUCCAGAAUCAAGGUGAUGUAUUUACAUGUAAAAUUAAAGA